CAGAGGGGGCAAGCGUUAUUCGGAAUUAUUGGGCGUAAAGGGCGCGUAGGCGGCUUUGCAAGUGACGGGUGAAACUCCCUCGGCUUAACCGAGGAACUGCCUGUCAGACUGCAUGGCUUGAGACCAGGAGAGGUGAGUGGAAUUCCCAGUGUAGCGGUGAAAUGCGUAGAUAUUGGGAGGAACACCAGUGGCGAAGGCGGCUCACUGGACUGGUACUGACGCUGAGGCGCGAAAGCGUGGGGAGCAAACAGGAUUAGAUACCCUGGUAGUCCACGCCGUAAACGAUGAGUGCUUGGUGUAGCGGGUAUCGACCCCUGCUGUGCCGAAGUCAACACAUUAAGCACUCCGCCUGGGGAGUACGGUCGCAAGACUG
rnacentral:rRNA from 1 species